AUCUCCUGUAUGUCCAAUCAUUUUCUUUUGUUUUUAAUCUUUUCUGUGAUUUAUUUUUUAAAGAUUGGAUUUCUAGAAGACAUUUGAUAAAGUUCUAUACAAGAGUUUUACCAGAUUUCUCUAUGACGGACAGGUGAUACAGGACAGUCCAACUACUUGGAGCGUUGCAUAGCAAUGAGGCCAGACCUAUCAUCCUUGAUUUUUUUUGCCCCUGUUCAACCAUCGAGCUGAUUCACAGGGCAACCGCAGCGGAGGCUACCAAUACGGCGGCUCAGGAGUGAAAGAAGGAAAAGCCUUUAAGAUAGCCAAUACCUCAACGUUACGAAAGGCAGAAAACGCUCAGGUAGGAAUUUACAAAGCGAAGGCCGGUAAACAAAAGUUUGCGCGUCUCAGUGGUAAA